AUACGUAGGGAGCGAGCGUUGUCCGGAAUUACUGGGUGUAAAGGGAGCGUAGGCGGGAGUGCAAGUCAGAUGUGAAAUACAUGGGCUCAACCCCUGGGCUGCACUUGAAACUGCAUUUCUUGAGUGAAGUAGAGGUAAGAGGAAUUCCUGGUGUAGCGGUGACAUGCGUAGAUAUCAGGAGGAACACCGGUGGCGAAGGCGGCUUACUGGGCUUUUACUGACGCUGAGGCUCGAAAGCGUGGGGAGCAAACAGGAUUAGAUACCCUGGUAGUCCACGCUGUAAACGAUGAUUACUAGGUGUGGGGGGACUGACCCCUUCCGUGCCGCAGUUAACACAAUAAGUAAUCCACCUGGGGAGUACGGCCGCAAGGUUGAAACUCAAAUGAAUCGGCGGGG
rnacentral:rRNA from 1 species